rnacentral:tRNA from 1 species
CCCCACGUGGAGAAAUUGGUAAACUCAGGAGACUUAAAAUCUCCCGCCGUAAGGCUUCCCGGUUCGAGGCCGGGCGUGGGGAC